ACGGUGUUGUUAUUAUUCAGCUAGCGGGCUGGUUAAGUUAACAUUAGCCUAGCUAGCUAAUAUCCCCGACCAUGCGGUCACUAAGCUACACUCCACCUACUAAAGAAGAGGUGGGUAUCACAGUAAAACAAGAAGUAGACGGUGAGGCCAUUACUGUGAAAGAAGAAAAAGACGCGUUCAGAGUGGAGGAGGAGGAUGUUACAGUAAAAAGAGAGGAGGAUGGAGUUUAUGGAUUGAAAGAGGAAGAGGGGGAGAUGACUGUUACAUCGAAAAAGGAGGAGGAAACUGGAUAUCUGGGCCCGGUUUCCCAAACGCAUCUUAAGGCGUCCGACCGUUCUAACGCUGAAUUUAGCCAUACGGUGGUUUUGAGAAACCGUUCCCUGAUUAACACGAGAGAGUGGGGACUAUCGUGGAUCCUCUGGGGAGCCUCAACAACCUCAUGAUGCUGAAGAGGCAGAGAAGUGUCUCUCCAGAUCAAAAUACCUCAAGAAACACCUGCAGAGAUCCACAGGGAAGAGAACUCACUGCUGCUCUGACUGUGGGAAGAGAUUCACCUCAUCAGGCAUUAAAAUUCAUCAGAAAACACACACAGGAGAGACAUCUUAUAGCUGUGGUCAAUGUGGAAAGAGUUUUACUUCAUCUAGCUAUCUGACAGUACACCAGAGAAAACACACAGGAGAGAAACCUUAUAGCUGUGAUCAAUGUGGAAAGAGUUUUACUUCAUCUAGCUGUCUGACAGUACACCAGAGAAUACACACAGAAGAGAAACCUUAUAGCUGUGAUCAAUGUGGGAAGAGUUUUGCUACAGCUAACCAUCUGACAGUGCACCAGAGAAUACACACCGGAGAGAAACCUUAUAGCUGUGAUCAAUGUGGGAAGAGUUUUGGUCAAUCUGGAAAGCUGACAGUGCACCAGAGAAUACACACAGGAGAGAAACCGUAUAGCUGUGAUCAAUGUGGGAAGAGUUUUGCUACAUCUAACCAUCUGACAGUGCACCAGAGAAUACACACAGGAGAGAAACCUUUUGGCUGUGGUCAAUGUGGGAAGAGUUUUGCUACAUCUAACCGUCAGACAGUGCACCAGAGAAUACACACAGGAGAGAAACCGUAUAGCUGUGAUCAAUGUGGGAAGAGUUUUGGUCAGUCUGGAGAGCUGACAGUGCACCAGAGAAUACACACAGGAGAGAAACCUUAUACCUGUGAUCAAUGUGGGAAGAGUUUUGCUACAUCUAACCAUCUGACAAUGCACCAGAGAAAACACACAGGCGAGAAACCUUAUAGCUGUGUUCAAUGUGGGAAAAGAUUUGCUGCAUUUAACCAUCUGACAGUGCACCAGAGAACACACACAGGAGAGAAACCUUGUAGCUGUAGUCAAUGUGGGAAGAGAUUUGCUGCAUCUGGCAAUCUGACUCAACACCGGAGAACACACACAGUCUGAUCAAAUAUGAGAAAAUACAUAUAUUAAGGAGUUGUUUCAUGAUUUCAAUGAAUUGAUGUCACAAUGUAGAAUGUUUUAACAUUUUAGUAGGAGUAUUUUAAAGAUGUCACAAUGUAGAAGCCUAAACGUUUGCCCCCUUAUAAAUUGAUUUCAACAUGAUAUGGAUAUUAGCCUCGGGGGAAAUCCAAGCGAAAAAUCCCAGCUCUGAAAUGGAAGAGUACUAUUUAUGUGAUU